rnacentral:misc_RNA from 1 species
GUAAUAUCUCUCAACUUUUUUGAACUGCAAUAUCUCUAAAUUAAACUGAUUGUCAUAUUUAUAAAUAUGUUUUGCAUAUAGAGGUGGUUAUGUAUUAGGUUAUUUGUUUCCUCAUUCUGGUUUAGCUCUGAAACUUGCAUAUAUAUAACAUAAUGUGCAUAUGAACUAAGAAAUUGAGAUAUAUGUUUAGUGUUAAAGUAAUUAAUCUCCCUGAAUAAUAUGUAUUAUUUUUGAUAAAUUGGGUUGGAUUGGUUAGCUCACACAGUUUGAUCUACUAAUUUUCCAAGAGAAUUCUCAAAUCAGUUUCUCCAAACCCUAACCCUUUGUUUGGAUUG